GCGGGGUCUUCUGGAGUCACCUCGGCCAAUCGCCGCCGCGCCUCUGCUGGGACUGCCCAAUAGGAUAGCAGUGGGUGGAGCGGCGUUCAAGCGUUCAGUCACUUCUGUGGAGAGACCGGGAGUUGAAGUGAGGCUUCACUUCAGGACAGAAAAGCCGUGGAGCCGAGGGCUCCUCCGAGCCUUCAUUCCCGGUUCCUGGGCGGGUCUCAGCCUGCUCCGGCCCGGCGAGCCGGCUGGCGCCCGAGAUGAGGGUCCUCUGCUAAGGGUGAAGGCCGAGCUGCACCCUCUGAACCGAGCGCCCUCAUCCUAAUUUAGACCCCACACCUGCUCGUCUUUCCCGCUCCAGAAACCCACGCAGGACCCCCCGCUUCUCACCCCGCAUGAACUUGUCAGACCCCAGCCCGACCCGCGGCCGCCGCCGCCCUGCCUGGGCGUGUCCGCAUCCCUGCGGCUCACGGCCUCGGUUUGCCUCCCGGAGGAAAGGGCGCACGCAGAAGCCAGACGCGCUCCAUGUCGGGGCCGCCGUUUCUGGGGCCCUGGCCCCACUAUGUAGCAGGUCUCUGAAGAAAAGGCUGAAGAAGGAAAGACUGAAACCGUGUGCUUCAGUAUUGACUUCCUGAGUGAAUUCCAGAAGACGUGUUGCGGUGAUAGCCCGAAGUAGUUAAGACCAACAGUCAGACUUGUAAUUUUUAUAAGAUUUUAUUUAUUGAUUGAUGAGGAAGAUAGGAGAGAAAGAACCAGACAUCACUCUGGUACAUGUGCUGCCAGGGCUUGAACUCAGGACCUCAUGCUUGAAAGUCAAGUGCUUUAUCCACUGCACCACCUCCUGGACCACAGAUGUGUUUUUUUGUUUUGUUUUGUUUUUUUACCAGAGCACUGAUCAGCUCUGGUUUAUGGUGGUGCAGGGGAUAGAACCUGGGACUUCGAAGCCUCAGGCAUGACAGUCUGUUUGCAUAACCAUUAUGCUAUCUACCCCUGCCCAGAUUUGUAUUUUUUAAAUUAAUUUAUUUGAUAGGGCUUGAGAGAGGAAGGGGAGAGAGUGAAAGGCACCUGCUGCACUGCCACGCUGUUCAUGAAGUUUCCCCCUGUCAGUGGGGAACUUGAGCCCCGAUCCUUGCACAUGGUAGCUAACCUGUGCUCAGCCAGGUGUGCCACACACCCCCCAUGUGGAUUUCAAUCUGGAAUAAGAUAUGAGUUUGGGCAAACCAGCUUUCUGGAGUUAAAGUUCGUUUGCUUUAGUUCCCUUUGCUGUCAGGAGUUGCAAUGAUGGUACAUAUAUCAUCAAGUGGUUGUAAGGUCUGAGGAGUCCGGGAGGAAAUGCAAAGUCAAUCUUAGCAGUGACCCUACUAUGUUCUGUAAGGAUUCUUAUAGUGAAUCCAUGCUGGGACGCAAAGGUGAAAAUGAAGACAGUUGGGCUUCCUCAAGAAAUUCAUAAUUUGUAGGGUAGACCAACCAAAAGUAGUUACCUUGGGGGCCGGUGAUGUGUCGGGGUAAGCACGCAUUACCAUGCUCAAGGUCCCCUGCUGGAGCUCCUGCUCCUCCCCUGUGGGGGAGAGCUUCAGGAGUGAUGAGGCAGGUCUGCAGGUGUCCAUCUAUCUUCCCCUCCCCCUCUCAAUUUCUAUCCUAUCAAAUUUAAAAAAUAUUUAAAAAGGAAAAAUGGCCGCCAGGAGUGGUGGAUUCAUGGUGCAGACACCCAGCCACAGGAAAACAAAACAAAACAAAACAAAAACCUGGUGGCAAAGAAAAAAAAAGAGAAAAUAGAAUGUCAGGGGAGUUGGACGGCAGCGCUGCGGGUUAAGCGCAAGGGGCGCAGAGCGCAGGGACCGGCGUAAAGACCCGGUUUGAGGCCCCGGCUCCCCACCUGCAGGGGAGUCGCUUCACUGGCGGUGAAGCAGGUCUGCAGGUGUCUGUCUUUCUCUCCCCCCUCUCUGUCUUCCCCUCCUCUCUCCCCUUUUUUCUCUGUCCUAUCUAA